CGAGGCACUGCAAUAAAACAAAAGCGCACUCGAAGGCACAGAGAGACGGACAGAAAGACAGAGACUCGCAGCAGCUGGAUAAGGCCAAAGGGGUCUAGCACCGGAGACCGGUUACCGGAGAUAGCGAGCCUCCGUACUUUUUACAGACCGGAACAUAACCUGCCAUGGGGAUAGAAGUUACAGAUAUUUGUUUGGACAAGGAGCCAGAUUGUGUCAUAGUUUAUGCAAAUGGUGUUUCCCAUGAUUCAGAUCAUGAACCUGAUCCCAAUCAUCAUGGUGGGCAAGAGUCAUAUGAGCCUAUUAACGAGGGUCCUGAAAUCCAAAGUACAGAAGAGAGUACUGAAGCAAAGGAAUAUGAUGUGAAGGAAUGUACCACUGAAAACUCAGUAGAGGUUUCUGAAUUCUGUCAUAAUGAGAAAUAUAAGGAAGAGCAGAAUGUAGUAAACUCACAUGUCAAAGCUGGUCUGCAUAAGGAAAGUGUAAAAUCAGAAACCCAGAAGAAAAAGGACAACAAUAAGUCACAAAUUUCUGUCAAGCAAGCAUCCAGAUCUGUUGCUGCAAAUGCUCGAACAAAACACACUGUUCCACAGCCAUUUUCCCUAGCAACUGAAAAGCGUGCCUCAUAUGGACUUUCUUCUGGUGGUGCACAACCUGAUUUUGGCACCCGUCUGAAUAAAUUGUCUAAUGCAAACACUGUGAGACAUCCAAAUAUCAUAAAGCUCAAUCAGCAAAUAUCAGAACUGGUACCGAGGAAGCCACUGCAACCUAAUAACAAGAAGCAUCCUGAUGAAGAAGAUUCUUGUUCUGUUGCUUCCUCCACUGCAAGAUCUGCAAGGGCAAUUAAGUCCAAGCCAACUGUUGCAUCAGCUCCAACAUUUAGAUGCAUGGAGCGUGCUGAGAAGCGGAAGGAGUUUUAUUCAAAAUUAGAGGAGAAACACCAAGCAUUGGAAGCUGAGAAAAACCAAAGUGAAGAGAGGACAAAGGAAGAGAAAGAUGCAGCUAUUAGACAACUGAGGAAGAGCUUAAUGUUCAAGGCAAACCCAAUGCCAAGCUUCUACCUUGAGGGACCUCCACCUAAGGCUGAACUUAAGAAGCUGCCACCAACUCGUGCAAAAUCACCAAAGCUUGGCCGAAGGAAGAGCUGCAGUAAUGCAGUCAGUUCAUCCCAUGAACAAAAAGUGAAAGGAGCUUGUGCUUGGGAAAAUCGUCGGAGCCUUGGUAUUUACAAAGAAGAGACCACCACCAAUGGCCCCAAUAAUUUUAGGAAGCAGAGCAACUUCCAGAAUGGUAAUGCCACUUGGAAAUUCAAUGAUGAACAGAAAGAAAUGGAAGAUAUAAGCGAAUCAAAUGCGACCAUGGUAAAUGGUCAGGGGGAUGUGGACUACGACGUCCAUUCUUGAGUUUCUGAUUCUUUUCUGGAAGACCAUUUUACUUGGUAGUGUGGGAGGAGCAUAGAGUUAAGCCUAAGGGACCCGUUAAGUUGUUCUUUGCUGUGUUGGAAAUCCAUCUUUUGCGUGAUUAUGGUGAGCCUCAUUAUGAAAAGCUCAUAAAGCGAAAGCUAAAAAAAGGACACUAUGGAGCGUAAAGCACGUCGUUUCAAAGCUUCUUAGAUAUCACGCAGUAGCAAAGAUGACUUUUCUGAGCUCACCAUACCCCGUUUAUGGGAGCAAAACUUGCUGAGAAAAAUGAGUUUGGAAAUCACAGAAAUUUUUUUCUGAUCUACGAAUUAACGGGGGCAAGCUUAGCGAACAUCCAUCCCAAUAUACUCACCAACUAUGAACAUCGCCUAUCUGGACUACGAAGUACAAACCCAUCGGUUCAAGUUCAUCCCUUGUCAAAUUGCAAUAAUUUUGUGCUCAUACGGCCGUGCAUGGCCUGAGUGGCAUUCUACGUCGGCUUGGUCAACCUUCUUCUUGGCAUGCUGCGAUGUCGGGCAAAUUGUCGGCAUUAACCGUUGACUAAGCUGGCGUGACGAUGCCAUGUCUGUAUUAUUUAUGUCACGAGUAAUCCGUGCAGAUAAUAGUGCUCUUAAAAAUUUAAUUUGUUUCAAGAAUGGUUAUUCA